rnacentral:misc_RNA from 1 species
GAAUCUUCUAUCUUUUAACCCAUUUUAGGGCAAACUCUUGAAGGAUAUAAAAUCUUUUUUUUCUCUUUCUUACCUUAAGGAGAAAACAAAGGAUUUUUUCUAGAAAGAAAAGGAGAGAGAAGGGCAUCCUUGGAUCGUGUUUGCAACAGCUGAAGAGGAUGGCUUCUCCAACAUUCCAACAGCAGAUUUUUCACCAUUUUCACUAAGUUUUUCUUUCCCUUAGCUUAGUUUUUCAUUUCUUCUUCAUUUCUCUACUUGGGUUUGUCUGGAAACUAUAAUUUGUGAGUAGAACUUUGAGAUUUUAGGGAUAGGUAUGUAAAUAUUGCCUUGUAAUGUGGUUUUUAAACUGAUUUAGCUAUUUAAAUGAG